CCCCCUCUCCUCACUUUCGUCUUCCUCUCCUCGCACACGCAACCUUUGCCUCCACUCCCUCGCCUCUUCCCCUUCUUCUCCUCGACAUCUCCACGAGUGGGGGAAUAACGAACUCGAGCUUGGCGACAGGGAUUCGAGCGCCAGCACUCCAUCUCCGGCGGAGGGGUUGCGCGCGGGUGGCGGCGAUUUCGAUCUGUGUGUGCCUCGUUGCUGGAGGCGGCCGCCCGAUCCAGCAACUGGUGAAGCAACUCCCGACCAGCGACCAUCCCUCCUCGCCCGCGUCUCUGCCCCGCACUCGUUUCGCCAGCAACCUCGACUAGAUCGGCAUCUGGUGCAGGAGGCUCGGGGUGGUUGUGGGCCUCGUGGCGGCGGCCUCCUCAGCGGCGUCGCCGGACAACCUCCACGCGCGGAGGAGGCAUCUCCACGGGUUCCCUGAGCCCAACCAUGGAGGAUGGGACGAGAAUGUUUGUGGCCAGCUAGUGGAUGCGGGUCGGAGCAGCGAGACUCCCGCCUAUGCCUCGCGCGGCUCGGAGAGACGCUGAGCUCCAAUGACCCAUGGACGCGCCGGCCAGUGCGGGUGGCCCGCUCGAUGCUUUCAGCCAGAGAUUCACAGGAAGCUCGCGACGUUGCUACCCUCCAUCUCCCUCACACACGACUUACGCCGUCGCCAGGAUCCCCAUUUUCUUCCUGUACUAGUGCUGCUAGCUCGUUGGCGACGGUUAUGACGCCAUAUGUGGCUUCACUCGGCCCCUCGUCCCCGGCAGCAGCCUUCUUGACGGAUUAAAUCAUGUUAUCUUGCUAUUUGCUUCCAAGCCUAAAUAUUUCUCAUCCAUACAUGAUUUUAUCUAUAAGUUUGGUCGCGACAUCGAUUGCCUAUCUUGACAACAUUGGUGCUGAAGUUAUCGAGCCUCCAAAGAAUGGGAUAUUCAAAUGUCACAGAACUCGUCGGUGAUGUUAUCGAGCAUUCAGGGAAACCAAAUGUCAUAGUUUCUACAAAUGUACAUGAGAUAUUGGAAUGCCCUGUGUGUUUGGUUCCCAUGUAUCCUCCAAUUCAUCGGUGCUCCAAUGGUCAAACCAUUUGUUCUGAAUGCAAGCCAAGGGUUCAUAAUGGCCGCCCAAAAGAAGCUAGGGUCCAUCAUGCCGGGAGAGUGAUUCUUCCGUGUAUUGUUAAGGGGUGUUUGUAACACAAACUCUAUUCUCUCUUAAUUAAUAUACGUGGCAAAUCUUUUGCCCGUUUUCAAAAAAAUAAAAUAAUGGCCGCCCAACUUGCAGGAGUGAAUUGGGUAACAUAAGAUGCCCUGCUUUGGAGAAGGUUGGCGCCUCUCUAGAGUUUAUGUCCAAGUUCCAGAACUUUGGAUGCUUGCGAAUGUAUCCUUAUUAUUGCAAGUUAAAACAUGAAUCAGAGUGCCAAUACAGACCCUAUACUGGCCCAUAUGCAGGUUUUAGGUUUUGUUGAUCUAUGUGAUGGAAUCUUGAUAUGUAGCAUGACUUCCGUCCUGGACAGUUGCCGGGAAUGCAUCGAGAAAAUGCAACAUGAAUUGAUGUUUGAAGUUACAGCCUUACAGGAGCAUCAACACAAAUUUGCAACGACGAAGUUUAUACCAUGCUUGUGUAGUCAGUCUGAAGCAUUUGCCUUUGGAAUUAAAGAAGAUCAGAGUAUGACACUGACCUGAGAUCAUACGAAGCGGUGAGCUAAUUAUGUUGUACUGUGCUUCAUGCUUUUCUUUCAUAGUCUGCGUCAUAAAAUUUUCCCUAUAGAUUUCGGUGCUAGCAAAUAUGCUAAAGACAUACAGAGAAGGCAAUCAGUGCAGUGGAUUCCAAUAUUGAUGCGAGAAAAAUGCCUUUGGGUUGAAGCCCACUUACUGAUAUUCUCAUGGUCUCUCUCUGUGUGUGUAGCUAUUCCUAUUUGUGAUUAUCAUCUUGUAGGAUGUUAAUCAGUACCUUACCUUUGACUUCCAUUCAAAGUUGAAGCGAUUAUUACUUAUCUAUUUAUCUGUUUCAAUGAAUAAGCCCACUUACUAAUAUUCUCAUGGUCUUUUAACAAAUAUAUAUACCAUCGGCUUGACGGCGAGGAGGGAAGCCCUGCAGAUCGAGGAGGACGGCGCGACGACUGUGCUGUAGGUCAAGAGCAUGGUCAUGUCAUGGUACCGCAUAUCGGUGGUGGUCCGCUUGCCUGCUAUGGCGUCCAACACGACUACACCCUUUUACUUGGCCUGCUAUUUGAUUGGGAGGGUGCUCUUUUGCUUUAAAGACAUGAUUGGUCGAUGUAUUUGGUUUUAUGAUGGCCAGGUUGAGCAAAAUCACAUGUUUUUUUUUUCAAGUUUGAGAAGAAAAAGACAACGGAACAGUCUGAUAAAGUAGAUCUAUGCUAGCAACUAGCAUCAUCAUUCUUUGUGCUGGAUUGGUCAAACGUUGGACAUUUGAAGAGAAGGAACUUCGUGUGAGAUUAAUAUCUUUCUGAUCAGUAGCAUCAUCCGUGACAAGGAUUUAUAAUGAAUGGCCAUUAGAAGAGAGGAAAGGACGGACAGAAGGUUUGCUACACAAUUGAAUAUGUUCCAUUAUUUAUUGAUUUUCAACAUUGGUGCAUCUGGGUCCCACGCUGUGGCGUGGACACGGUGGCCCUGCCGAAGCGGGUGUGGUCGAGCCACUGGAUGAUGUAGCCGGUGGCUCCAGUCACGCACAUCGGCUGGUCCUGCUCCGGCGAGCAGCCACCACCCUUCCUGUCCUGAUAUCGCCUUGCAUCUCC